rnacentral:rRNA from 1 species
GAACGAACGUUGGCGGCGUGGAUUAGGCAUGCAAGUCGAGCGAGGACGGGGUAGCAAUAUCUCGAACCGAGCGGCGUAAGGGGCAGUAAUGCGUGGGUCACGUACCCCCGGGCCGGGGAUAGCUACGGGAAACUGUAGGUAAUACCCGAUAACACUUCACGGUCAAAGGUGUAAUUCCACCUGGGGAGCGGCUCACGUCGUAUUAGCUUGUUGGUGGGGUAACGGCCCACCAAGGCCGAGAUGCGUAGCGGGUGUGAGAGCACGACCCGCGCCACUGGCACUGAGACACUGGCCAGACACCUACGGGUGGCUGCAGUCGAGGAUCUUCGGCAAUGGGCGCAAGCCUGACCGAGCGACGCCGCGUGCGGG